rnacentral:siRNA from 1 species
UCUCGUCCCGUGUACUUGA